rnacentral:rRNA from 1 species
CCCAGAAGCGGGGGAUAACACCUGGAAACAGAUGCUAAUACCGCAUAACAACUUGGACCGCAUGGUCCGAGUUUGAAAGAUGGCUUCGGCUAUCACUUUUGGAUGGUCCCGCGGCGUAUUAGCUAGAUGGUGGGGUAACGGCUCACCAUGGCAAUGAUACGUAGCCGACCUGAGAGGGUAAUCGGCCACAUUGGGACUGAGACACGGCCCAAACUCCUACGGGAGGCAGCAGUAGGGAAUCUUCCACAAUGGACGAAAGUCUGAUGGAGCAACGCCGCGUGAGUGAAGAAGGGUUUCGGCUCGUAAAACUCUGUUGUUAAAGAAGAACAUAUCUGAGAGUAACUGUUCAGGUAUUGACGGUAUUUAACCAGAAAGCCACGGC